CUGGAAAAGAAGCAAGAAAUAAGAAGCAAGCAGAGAUGAGUGCUGCAAAGAUUGCAUACACAGCUCGAAGACGUUGACUGGUGCUCAAUGGGGAUGCGGGUUUAUGUUGUGUCUUUAUGCAUAUCCAUGGCAGAUGUGUGCAUGCAUAUGACACCAUAGAACAGUGUACAGAUAAUCCAACGUUUUUGACUAUCUUAGAGUACAAGUCGGUAAGUCAGGAUAGAGAGUAACUCAAGCUUGAGUCUUCAUGCUAUUUUAGAUAAUUUGACAUGAAUAACACCUGAGGGAGGAGGUAACCGCAAGAACCUUCUUUUGAUGUCAUUUUCUACCUGUUCCUAUAUUCUAAUGGGCCAAUAUAUUUACUAAAUGCCUUCCUGUCGGCUUUCCAAUUCCAGAGAAAAAGGUUUGCUGGUUUCAACUGAUGAGCACUAUUUUCUUUCCAAAAGAAUAAAAAUUUUGGAAUUGCUGGCAGCAAAUUCUGUAGUUAGCAAUCAUCUCCAUUGCAUCUCCAGGGCAAGAUAGUUCAGCAAUGGCAAGCAUCACACCUUCGCCUGCCGCAGCCAUCUCUUCGUCGCCUAAACAUGACCUGACUUCAUCUUCUUUGCCUUCUGAUUCCCCCACUAGUUUAGCCACAAGCUCAAGCAUCGAGUAUCAAACACAGCCUACAACCUUAAAGAUGAACAAUUCAAGUAAAAUGGAUGAGCUUCCUCUCUCAUCAUCCAAUAUUCAAAAUUCAAUGUUAUAACUGUCGUCACAAAGUAUAAAAAAAAAAAAGAUUUCUUCAAUUUUUGAAACAAGCUGAUUAUGUGCAUGCUUUGGUUAGUGGUCCUUGAGCAAUACUGGGUCAUUGUUUAACAAACCAGCAAAGGAACCAGCUUUUUUUUUUUUUUGAUUAAAACUUGGUUGAAAAUUAAUUUUUUAUAUAAGUUAUUUAAAUAAAAUAUUAACAUGAUUAAAAUAAAUAAUAAGUCAAAUCUUUGAUUGAUAUAUUUAUUGUGAAACAUAAAACUUUCUGUUUCACGGAUAAAAUAUACAAGAUUUUUUUAUAGUUUAUUUAAUAAAAAGUUGAAGAGUUAUGAAUAACCUAAGUAUAUGGUAUGAGUUUAAUUCAUAAGUAUACACUUGGCUCAGGCUUAACCCACGAGCCUGAAUCUAUUUUAGUCUUGGAUUUUAAUUUAUUAUUGUAAAAUAAUUUUUUGACAUGUAAAAAACUAUUUUUGCUAGCUCCUUGUUUUGUUUUGUUCAACAAAUGAAUCUGAGCAUUAUUUUUUUUCAAAAGAGUUUUUUUUUAAACCUAAACAUUUAUUUAGCUAAAAAAUAUCAGAUUUAAAGCCGAAAUGUUUAGGUUUAAUUUUAAUUUUAUAACAAGUAAUCAAAGCGGGUAAUGUUGGGAAUUAAUCCGGGUAAUUAUUAAAAUUAAUUAUUUAUUAGUUUUGGUUCCAAAAUCCACUAUAAAAAAGAGAGGGUAUGAAAGAAGAGUUUUCUACACCAUUUUUCAGAAUUUUUAGACACUUCUUUGUGUCAUAUUUUUAAUGUUUUCUCCUCUUUUAGCUUUGUUUUAAGCUUUGAUUUUCCUCCUACAUGUAGAUGUUAGGUCCAUCCUUGUUAAGAGAUAUCUCAAUUACAUUACUUUUGGUUCGUAAACAUUGUUUAGAGGUUUUUAGAAGUCCAUCUAAGUAAUGUGGUAUUGUUAGAAUCUUAAAAAGCUUAUUGUAAAUAUCAUUUGCACCAAGUGAGGAGUAAUAAAAUCUUGAAAAGCUUUAUAUGUUUUAUAAUAUUUACAAGUUUUCCAUUAUAUAUAAAUUUGCAUGCUUAUAGUUUCAACAUGUAUGAACACUAGAGUUUCCUUGAACAUAUAAUUUAUUUAGAAUGUUUUUCUUAUGAUAAACUAAACAUCAAAGCUUACUUUUCCAAUUAUUUUGGAUUACAAUCUUAAAGCUUUAUUCUUUGUAUUAUUUUUGUUUAGUUUAUACAUGUAAUUUCACAAUCUUGUAUGAUAUAUUUAUUCCAUUUAAAGCAAUUUCUAUGCAUGAUGCAUGUCAUAUUUUUUCCCCAAACAUCUAAAAAUUUGUUUUUGUUUAGUGUAUGCUUGUUUGUAUGUUCAUGCAUAUCAUUUAGUUUAAUUAUAAUGAUAUGAUGCAUGUUUAAAAGAACUAAAAUAAUAUUAAAGUAUUUAUUUAAUCUUGUAUAGUUGGAAUAUUUUUGUUUGUUUACUUGCUUUACAAGCUUUAUGUUAGAUGUUUUUAUUUUUAUGUGAGGAUCCAAAACUUAUUUAUAAAUAUAUGGCUAUUGCUUUUUUUAUAUAGAUUUUAUGAUGACUUUAACUCAAGAAUUGGUUGUCCCAACCAAUGUAGUUUCGUCAAAUACUACUUAUGAAGAUUUUACAACAUCUUCUACGAUGCUUAAUGAGAAACCUGAAAAACUCAAUGGAUUGAACUUUAACAGGUGGUAGAAAAAAAAUUAUUUCAUUUGACCACCUUGAACUUGAUAAAGUUCUUGACCGAGGAAGAGUCAAAGUUGCCAAAUAAUAAUCUGAUCCCAUUACUGUGGCAGCUAUGGAUGCAUGGAAUCAUAGUGAUUUUGUUUGCAAAAACUACAUUUUAAUUGGAAUAGACAAUACAUUAUAUGAUGUGUGUAGUUCAAUCAAGGCUGAAGAUGCCCGUAUGAAAAAAAUUCAUAGUCAAUAAAUUUUUAAAUUUUUAAAUGGUUGAUUUAAGAACUGUUAUGAGCCAAGUUCAAGAAGUUCAGCUCAUCUUGCAUGAUAUUCAUACUGAAGGUAUGUUACAAAGUGAAUCAUUCCAAGUAGCUAUAAUAAUUGAAAAAUUACCACCAUUUUGGAAGGACUUUAAGAACUAUGCUAAGUAUAAGCAUAAGAAAAUAAAAGUUGAAGAUAUCAUUCCGAGAUUAAGGAUAAAAAAGGAGAAUAAGUUAUUUGAAAAAAGAGCCAGUUCUUUCUCUUUUGUUUUGAUAUCUGGCAAAACGAGCUAUUUUUGGAUAUCAGAAAAUUCCAAAAAAUAAUUGGGAUCUUCGUUAAUUUAUUUAUGGGUCUCUCACAUUUUUAUUUUGUUUUGUUUUGAUAGCUUUUAUGGUAUAUUCAAUUUGUGAACUUUUACUGUUAAAUGCGAAUCUGCUAUCUUUUUCUUCUUAAAAAAAGGGUAAUAAUAAUAAAAAAAUAAAAAAAUAAAAAAUAAAAAAAUAUGUUUCCUUUUCUUUUAAUCCAAAAUUUGCGAAUUUAUUCACUGGCACCAAAGUCAGGAAUACUGUACUUUUUGGGUUAUGCAAUAUUUACCAAUACCAGAGUUGAAAAUAUUCAUAGGCGAAUAUUCAUUAACGUUAGAGUUAGAAAUAUUAUAGACAAAUCAUUUAAAGCAUAAUACAAAAAAUUUUGAGGUGGUCAACAACCUCCACGUCAAGUUUUUUAAUGUAUAAGAUAAUUAUUAGCAAAAAUAAAUAAAAAUUACAAUUUAAUCUAAACUCAAUAGAUAUAAAUUAAAACUAACCUGAGUUUUUUUUUAAAUAAUUACUUUACUUGAUAUGUAAUGUAUAUAAUAUGUAUAUUAUCAAACCGACCCAAGAUAUAUAUGUGUGUGUGUAUAUAGAUAUUAUACACAUAUGCAUGUAUAAUAUUUAUAAUUUUAUCAUUUAAUAUAUAUAAAUGCUUCAAAUAUAUACACACACACAAACAUUACUAUUUUAUUUUUUGUUUAAUAAUAAAUAAUAAUUAUAAAAUAAAUAUCUAUAUAGAUACUCGUAGCAUAACAGAUAAAGUACGGAAAUUAUCUAUACCAAAAAUAUACAGUAUAGAUAUAAAGAAGAUGACCCGUGACUACUGCCUACCCAGUUUGGAAAAAUCAAACUUGACAUUUUCUCUAGAAAAUCAUCAGAAAAGAAAAGAAAAAGAAAAAGAAAAAGAAAAGAGAGCUUCCUUCCCAAGGAAGGGAAUUGAUUGACAAAAAGACACAGCACACGUGCGUGUCUUUAUAUAUAUAUAUAUAUAUAUGAUCACUCACAGGCAACCGGCAAUAAUAACGAAAGAAAGAGAGAGUGGAAGGACGCAUGAAUAAUAAAAGAGUAAUGUACAAAUCAAAGCUUCAACAACUGUCCCAGCAGAGAGGAUGGGAGAUCCCUACCUCUGAAGUCACUAAAGAGGGACAAGAGCACAGCCCUCUCUUUUAUGCCACUGUCACCGUCGACGCCACCCUCUUUUCCACUCCUUUGCCCUCUUCUUCCUCUAAAGAAGCUCAAAACGCCGCUGCUAAGCAAGCCCAUAACUACUUCUCCGACCACUCUCGCGCUUCCUCCUCCUCCCCCCUUAAUGGUAAUUGAAUCCCUUUUGUUUCUUUGUAACGCUUCAUUUCUUCCCUUUUUUAUAUUUCCUUGUGAUUUAAUUGCACUGUAUCAGAUAUUUUAAAGACGAUUUUCGGCUAUUGUUUUUAAUGAAAUGAAAUUAUUUUGUAAAUUAAUGUUUGAUUAAGAAUGAAUGCUUGAAUAAUAACGUUUGCUUCUUAUAAUUUAUUUAUUUUUUGUUGAUAGAAUGCAUCUGAAUUUUCUCCUGGCUUACAGGUAUGCUGCACUUGUUUAAAAACCAGCUGCAAACCUAUGCUCAAAAGAGAAAUUUCAGUCUACCUGUGUAUUCUUGUGAGCGUAUGGGUCCUCCUCAUGCUAUUCGCUUCAAGUGCAAGUUCACAAUAAAUGGACAAACCUAUGAGAGUCGGGAAUAUUUUCCCACAUUGAGCAAAGCUGAAAAGGUUGUGGUUUUCUUUUUAGGAUGAGUCUGGUUAUAAGAAUCUUUUACAAGAUAUGGCUCAGAGAGAAGGUUGUGGUUUCCCAACUUAUUGUACAGAGAAAUCUGGUGAAGCUCAUGCGCCUACUUUCAUUUCAACAGUGGAGAUAGAUGGAGUUAUUUUUACCGGAAAAGAAGCAAGAACAAAGAAGCAAGCAGAGAUGAGUGCAGCAAAGACUGCAUACACAGCUCGAAGACGUUGACUGGUGCUCAAUGGGGAUGCGGGUUUGUGUUAUGUAUUUGUGCAUAUCCAUGGCAGAUGUGUGCAUGCAUAUGACACCAUAGAACAGUGUACAGAUAUUCAAACGUUUUUGACUAUUUUAGAGUACAAGUCGGUAAGUCAGGAUAGAGAGUAACUCAAACUUGCGUCUUCAUGCUAUUUUAGAUGAUUUGACAUGAAUAACACCUG
rnacentral:lncRNA from 1 species